GAUGAACGCUAGCUACAGGCUUAACACAUGCAAGUCGAGGGGAAACGACAUCGAAAGCUUGCUUUUGAUGGGCGUCGACCGGCGCACGGGUGAGUAACGCGUAUCCAACCUGCCCACCACUUGGGGAUAACCUUGCGAAAGUAAGACUAAUACCCAAUGAUAUCCCACGAAGGCAUCCGAAUGGGAUUAAAGAUUUAUCGGUGAUGGAUGGGGAUGCGUCUGAUUAGCUUGUUGGCGGGGUAACGGCCCACCAAGGCAACGAUCAGUAGGGGUUCUGAGAGGAAGGUCCCCCACACUGGUACUGAGACACGGACCAGACUCCUACGGGAGGCAGCAGUGAGGAAUAUUGGUCAAUGGGCGCAGGCCUGAACCAGCCAAGUCGCGUGAGGGAUGACGGUCCUACGGAUUGUAAACCUCUUUUGUCGGGGAGUAACGUGCGGGACGGGUCCCGUAUUGAGAGUACCCGAAGAAAAGCAUCGGCUAACUCCGUG
rnacentral:rRNA from 1 species